UGAGGGCUUGAGUGCGGACCGCCGGUAAGCUUGACGGCAAAGGUAUAAUGAAGAUAUCAUUGCUCAAGAGAUUGCUGAAUAGCAUCACAUGCUUUGAUCUCUUGUCUUCUAGUAACACUGAAAAAAUUGAUGAAAUCUGGAAGAUUUUGAAACCAGUGCUUGAUCAAGCUGUUGCUUCUGAGACAUCGUCCAAUGGGAAACAGAUUCAGUUGUUGAAAGAACUUGAUGGUGUUGUCAAUGAAGCUAGGGAACUUGUUGGGUGCUGGCACCCAACGAUCAAGAGUUUAUUUUGCACGUUACAUUGACCUUAUUUGGAAACUCAGCCAAUUUUUUCUUAAGACAAAUUGUUUGCUUCUAUUACAAAAACAUGAGUGAUACAAAUAACCUUUU